GAUUAACGCUAGCGGGAGGCCUAAUACAUGCAAGGCAAGGGCGCAGCAAUGUGACCGCCGUACGGGUGCGUAACGCGUAUGCAACCUACCCAUCACAGGGGGACAGCCCAUGGAAACGUGGAUUAAUACCGCAUAAAGCAGGGGCACCGCAUGGUGAUACUGCUAAAGAUUUAUCGGUGAUGGAUGGGCAUGCGUCUGAU
rnacentral:rRNA from 1 species